GAAGCUGCACGGUUUCUGUCUCGGGGAGGGCGGCGGCUGAGGGAGCUGCGGCGGGAGCUGUGGCGGCGCUGGGCGCCGCUCGCCCCUCGGCCUCCGGGGGCCAUGGGCUCUGAGAAGGACUCCGAGUCGCCGCGCUCCACGUCCCUCCACGCGGCAGCGCCGGACCCCAAGUGCCGCAGCGGCGGCCGGCGCCGGCGCCUCCCCUUCCACAGCGUCUUCUCCGCGUCGGCCCGCGGCCGCCGCGCCCGAGCCAAGCCGCAGGCCGAGCCGCCGCCCCCGGCCGCGCCGCCGCCGCCCACCCCGGCUCCCGCCCCGGCCCCGGCCGCGGCCCCGGCCCCGCUGCCCGAGGCGCUGCCCGCCGAUCCGGUCGCCGAGGCCGAGGAGGAGGCCGAGGCGGCGGUGGCGGCGGGGCCCGGGUUCGACGAUGAGGAGGCGACGGAGGGCGGCGGCCCGGGCCCGGAGGAGGUGGAGUGCCCGCUGUGCCUGGUGCGCCUGCCGCCCGAGCUGGCCCCGCGCCUGCUCAGCUGCCCGCACCGCUCGUGCCGGGACUGCCUCCGCCACUACCUGCGCCUGGAGAUCAGCGAGAGCCGGGUGCCCAUCAGCUGCCCCGAGUGCAACGAGCGGCUCAACCCGCACGACAUCCGCCUGCUGCUCGCCGACCCGCCGCUCAUGCACAAGUACGAGGAGUUCAUGCUGCGCCGCUACCUGGCGGCGGACCCCGACUGCCGCUGGUGCCCGGCGCCGGACUGCGGUUAUGCGGUUAUUGCCUAUGGCUGUGCCAGCUGCCCAAAACUGACCUGUGGGAGGGAAGGCUGCCAGACUGAGUUCUGCUACCACUGCAAGCAAAUAUGGCAUCCAAAUCAGACAUGCGAUAUGGCCCGUCAGCAGAGGGCACAGACUUUUCGAAUACGGACCAAGCACACUUCGGGUCUCAGUUACGGACAAGAAUCGGGACCAGCAGAUGACAUCAAGCCAUGCCCACGAUGUAGUGCUUACAUUAUCAAGAUGAAUGAUGGAAGCUGUAAUCAUAUGACCUGUGCAGUAUGUGGCUGUGAAUUCUGUUGGCUUUGUAUGAAAGAGAUCUCAGACUUACAUUACCUCAGCCCCUCUGGCUGCACAUUUUGGGGCAAGAAGCCAUGGAGCCGUAAGAAGAAAAUUCUUUGGCAGCUGGGCACAUUGAUUGGUGCUCCAGUGGGAAUUUCCCUCAUUGCUGGCAUUGCCAUUCCUGCCAUGGUCAUCGGCAUUCCUGUUUAUGUUGGCAGGAAGAUUCAUAGCAGGUAUGAGGGAAGGAAAACCUCCAAACAUAAGAGGAAUUUGGCUAUCACAGGAGGAGUGACUUUGUCGGUCAUUGCAUCCCCAGUUAUUGCUGCAGUUAGUGUUGGUAUUGGUGUCCCCAUUAUGCUGGCUUAUGUCUAUGGGGUUGUGCCCAUUUCUCUCUGUCGUGGAGGUGGUUGUGGAGUUAGCACGGCCAACGGAAAGGGGGUGAAAAUUGAGUUUGAUGAAGAUGAUGGCCCAAUCACAGUGGCAGAUGCCUGGCGAGCCCUUAAGAAUCCCAGCAUUGGAGAAAGUAGCAUUGAAGGUCUGACCAGUGUCUUGAGCACCAGUGGAAGCCCUACAGAUGGACUCAGUGUUAUGCAGGGCCCAUACAGUGAGACAGCCAGCUUUGCAGCCCUCUCAGGGGGCACCCUGAGUGGUGGCAUCCUUUCCACUGGCAAGGGAAAAUACAGCAGGUUAGAAGUCCAAGCCGAUGUCCAAAAGGAAAUUUUCCCCAAAGACACAGCCAGUCUUGGUGCAAUUAGUGACAACGCAAGUACUCGUGCUAUGGCCGGUUCCAUAAUCAGUUCCUACAACCCACAGGACAGAGAAUGCAACAAUAUGGAAAUACAAGUGGACAUUGAAGCCAAACCAAGCCACUAUCAGCUGGUGAGUGGAAGCAGCACAGAGGACUCGCUCCAUGUUCAUGCUCAGAUGGCGGAGAAUGAAGAAAGUGGUGGUGGCAGCAAUGAAGAGGAUCUCCCCUGCAAACACCAAAGCUGUGAACAGAAAGACUGCCUGGCCAGCAAACCUUGGGACAUCAGCCUGGCCCAGCCCGAGAGCAUCCGCAGUGACCUGGAGAGCUCAGAUACGCAAUCAGAUGAUGUGCCAGAUCUCACUUCAGAUGAGUGCGGCUCCCCUCGCUCCCAUACUGCAGCCUGCCCCUCGACUCCCAGAGCCCAAGGUGCGCCGAGCCCAAGUGCCCAUAUGAACCUCUCUGCCCCAGCUGAGGGGAAGACUGUGUUGAAGCCAGAAGGUGCAGAAGCCAGAGUAUGAAGUGGAAUGAAUGCUCCUGUUCCGAGAAGCACACUUGUUAUGCACCUGCUCUUUGUCUUCCUGGCCUGUGCUUUUCUACAAUGAGGAUGAUGAGUCUGGACAACAGCCAACCUGGAAGAUUCUUUUCUCUUGGGCAUUGCAGCCAGACUUAGCACAUUUCCCUGCACCUGGAACUGGAAAUGCUGUCAGUGGACUUUGGGUCUUUGGAAAAAGGCACCCUAGAGGGUGUCCCUGUGUGAAAAAGGAAGCCUGUUGGGGAAAAAAGGCAGACAGUCUGAAAUGCAAAUUAUUAACUCUCCACGUGCAAUUCUCUUGAAGCCUCAGGAGAGCAAUUAACUUGGAUGAAAUCAAGGAAGUCUGUUGGAGGGGCAGGAGUUUGCAGCCAAACCUGUAUUCUUACCUGGGCCCCACUUCUUGUAGCUGUGAAACUUUUGCAACUUACUCUGAGUCUGUUUUCACUUCGCCGAAAUGGGGAUAAUAAUUCUAAUUGUGGGGCUGUAAAGAUUGAGAUGGUGUACUGAAAAUGCUUUUGACGUUAGCAGAUGAAAGACCCUUCGCCACCACUCAAAGACCGGGAGUAAUGCAUCGGGAAAGUUGGUCCAGUUAUCUAUUUAUUUUUAUUGACUUGAGGGAGGGAGAGAGACAAAUAUUGACUUGUUGCCCUGACCGGGGACCAAACCCACAACUUUGGCAUACCAGGAUGAUGCUCUACCCAACUGAGCUACGCACCCAGGACCUAAAAGUGGGUCAGUUUAGAACGUAGGGAAUGUUUUAAGUAGAGCUUUCAUUCAUAUCUGCUAUGUUUCAGGUAUACUAUGCAUCAAUGAGGAAAACAAAGGUCUGUCCCCAUGGAACUAACAUAGUGGGGAAAGGUGAUCAGAUUCAUUAUCUGGAUGAGGGUAAAUGCACUAAAGAAAACAAAGCAGGGAAGGUGAAGAGAGUUGCAGGUGGUGCUACUUUAGAUGGAUAGUAUAGGCCUCUUCAACAAGGUAACAUUUUAUUAGAGUCCUGAGUGGAGUGAGGACCAUGUGAUACCAAGCAUGAGGAAUAAAGUACAAAGGCCCUUUGGUAGAGCGUCCUUAGUCUGUUUACUUACACACACACACACAACAUACAGGCCUGUGUGGCUGGGACAAAGUGGACCAAGGAGGAGAGUAGUAGAUUAGGUUGACAAGGUGGCUGGGAACAAGAUGUGUAGAUUAGCAAAACAACUCUGAAGACAAGGAAAUGUUAGGUUCCUCUCAGGCCAGGAAGAGAUCAUCUUCAAAGCCAGACAGAUGGGCUCUUGUGGUCAACUUUCAAAGGGGCUAAUGCUGAAAGGGCAUGUCUGGUCACAAGUCGUAUUUGGGCCAAUGGGAAGAAACUGGAUAUGGAAAAUGGAUACUUAUUUAUUCCAACCUCUUUCUAAUGUGCUUUUUGGGACCCAAAAGGUCUCUGUGAUCUAGUUAGAUUAGAGGCUUAUGGGGUAUUAAUGGGUUGAAUUGUGUCCCCCAAAAUAUGUUGGAGUUCUAACCCCAAUACCUCAGAAUCUAACCUUAUUUGGAAAUAGGGUUGUUGCAGGUGUAAUUAAGAUGAGGUCAUACUGGAGUAGGAUGGGCCCCUAAUCCAAUAUGAUUGGUGCCAUAUAAAAAAGGGAAAUUUCGACACAGAAACACUCAGAGAGAACACCAUGUGAAGAUGAAAGCAGAGAUCGGGAUGAUAACAGCAGAAGCCAAGGCAUGCCAAAGAUUGCCAGCGAACCGUCCAGAAGCUAGGAGAGAGGUAUGGAACAGAUUCUCCUAUAUAGUUCUCAGAAGGAACCGACCCUGCAGACACCUUAAUCUUGGACUUUUAACCUCCAGAACUGUGAAAUAAUAAAGUAGUGUUUAAGCCACCCAAUUUGUGGUGCUUUAUUACAGCGUACCUAGCAAACAUAGGGGUCAAGUAAUUUAUUUUUUUAAAUAUAUUUUUAUUGAUUUCAGAGAGAAAAGGAGAGGGAGAGAGAGAUAGAAACAUCAAUGAUGAGAGAGAAUCAUUGAUCAGCUGCCUACUGCAUGCCCCCUACUGGGGAUCGAGCCUGCAACCUGGGCAUUUGCCCUGCCCGUGAACCAGUUCAUAGGUCGACAUUCAACCACUGAGCCACUGCGGGUGGGCAGGGGUCAAGUAAUUUAAAAGGAAUUUUGGCCUGGUUCUGUCCCACAUAUCCAUCCCAUUAUUUCCCAGUUCCUGUAGUUACAGUUGUAAUAGACAUACUUGGCAACUGGCAGAACCUUCACACUGGCACGUAGUGUGAAAGCUGUGUAAGAAGAACAAAGGGAAGUCCCCAGAACUAUUCUUCCCCACCAGAAUCAUAAGCCAAAAGCCACAGUGCAACCCUGAGGGAAUAGUAGAUAUUACCACCACCAUCAGAGACUGAGAAAUUCAGGAGUGGUGACCCCUAUCUGUUCACAUUUAAGUCAUUUGCCCUGUACAGGACUUGGCUUGUAGCUGUUCUUUCAGGUACCUCUUUAUAAAGCAAAUCAGCACAUCGCUGGCACCUGCAGCCAUGCAACUAUUGACCUGGAAUAUCCUUUUCCCCUCUAGCCCAAAGAACAGAAAACAUAAACGCAGAUUACUUUCACCUGCAGGGUCAGCAGUCCAUCUUGCUGUUGUACAUCUGGCUUAUGUCCGCUCUCCGGCUCUGUUGAAAUCUCAUCUGCAGGCACUUUAUCAUCUCACCUUUCACAGCAGGACAUCACUCGACAUGUGAUGACAUGUUUUGGAUCUAAUAAGAUGUGGCAGAAGAAAAUUGAGACACAAGUCAGAAGACAAAAAAAACAAAAUCCUGAUGAUGAGUGCCUGCAACUCCCUCAGCCUCCGCCUGAGGCCGGCGGACCUGACUGUCUUCACGAAUCGCUGUGAUCUAGGUCAUGGAGAUCCAGUGCAGCCAGCCCUGCCAGCCUCACUGCAGCUGACUGGACACAGAAUGUGGGCCCCAGCCAAAUGCUGCCGUGAACAACCUAGAUGUGAUGGAGGCCAACCCCCUGUGUGGGACUGUCCGGUACGGGAGACAUAAGUGCUAGGAGCAUACCCAGAGCAUGUCACCUGAUGUCGCCAGACCAUUGUCCCUGUUCUUUAGGGACCUGUUAGCCUUCAAAGGUGCUUCCAAGUCUGAUUUUCAGGAAUUUAAAAUCAGUGAUGGCUUCCCUGAUACCUCACUUCCUCUGUGUCCCUGCCAUCGCCCCCAUUACCAAAAGUUAUCAGAACAUGGCUCUUUCUUGUACACGUAAGAAGCUCAUGAACUUACCCAAACAUGGCCACUGGUUUCCUGAAGAUCACAGCCAGAUCAAAAAAGAAGCAAGCUAAUAAAAUUAAAAUAAAAUCCAUUACUGCUAUACUAAAAAAAGAAAAAAAAAAAAGGAGGAGGAGGAGGCCACAACCCAGAUCUGGAACUCCAGAUAUCGUGCCCCCUCCACUCUGACAUGGCUAUCUCACAUGCAGAUAUGAGAGAGAGGGCUUCAUGCACGGAGGGCGACAGUGAGCGAAGACUGCUGGCACUGUGUGCUUGGAUUCUGAGGCCUGGACUGUCAUCAGAAGGAUUCAGCAAGGGCAGGGUCACUGUCCCUCCUCUUAACCUGCAUUGGAGAUGCUGCUUAACUUGACCUUUGUGGCCUGCCUUUGUGAGCCACACCACUUUGAAUGCAUCCAUUAUUCAUUCAUGAUUUUGUAACAUCUUGUAUUGGUUGCUUGGAAAACAUUGAUUCACUGAGAGGGGCAGAUCUUCCAAAUGUUGAAUUUUCCAAAAGUCUUUUUUUCAUUCAAAAGCUCAAAUUUUAUCAUUGGCAGCAAAUAUUUUCAAUAUUUCUCCUUGAAUUGACAGGCUCACUUCCUUCAUUUUAGAGAAAAUGUCUGCAGAAACCCACAUUUGCAUAAUCUUAGUGUAUCUUUCAAUCAGGAGAAAUGGUGUUCAUGAAAAGAAGCAGCUAGUUCAGCUUGCAACUCAAACAAUGGCACAGGUGCUUCUCCUGGAGACAACCAUGGUACUUAGGCAGCCAGCAGAAUGCUUCCGUUCUGUCAAAAUAUUUAAAAGAAGUAUACCCAGGGGUAGAAAUGUAAUAGAGUUAAUGAUUUUUACUGUUUCAUCACGUCAUUCUCAAGUGAAACUGGCAUAUUUAUUUCUCAUACUGUGUGCACAUGGCAGUGACAAUACAAUGACUACAUAUAUAGCUCAGAGCCGCUGCCUUCCUUUGUGCUAAGGGGCCUCAUCAUUGCCUUUCCACCAUCAAAAAAGCAAAAGAACAUCAAAGUAGAUUAAGAAAAUAAUUUUGACUUCACAGAUCCUCUGAAAAGGUCUUUGAGGACCCUCAUUGGUUCCCAGACCAUACUUUGAGAACCACGGAUUUAAUGCUCUAUUCAUCAGUUAAUGCCUACCAUGUGACUGUUCUAGGCGCUGAAUAUUGAGUGGUGAGCUAUAUAUGAGAUACUUAGGGCCUCUGUUCUUAAUGUUCUUGUUAUGUCCUUUGAAGCAAAAAGUUUUUCAUUUUGAUGAAAUCAGAUUUAUCUGUGGUUGUUUGUGCUUUUGGUGUCAUACCUAAGAAAGCAUUGCUUAAUCCAAGGUCACAAGGGUUUAUGCCUACGUUUUCUUCUAAGAGUUUUAUAGUUUUAGUUCUUACACUUUGAGUUAAUUUUUGUAUAUGGUAUGAGGUAGGGGUCCAACCUCAUUCUUUUUUGUUGUUGUUGUUUUUGUUGUUAAUCUUCAACUGAAGAUAUUUUUUCCACUGAUUUUUAGAGAGAGUGGAAGAGAGGAAGGAAAUGGUGGAGGGGAGAGAGAGAAAAAGAAAGGGAAAGAGAGAGAGAAAUAUUAAUGUGAAAGACACAUUGAUUGAUUGCCUCCCCUACAUACCCCUACUGAAGCCAGGGAUUGAACCUGCAACCCAGGUAUGUGCCCUUGACCGGGAAUUGAACCUAUGACCCUUCAGUGCUCAGGCCAAUGCUCUAACCACUAAGUGACACCAGCCAGGGUCCAAUCUCAUUCUUUGGCAUGUGGAUACCCAGUUGUCCCAGCUACAUUUGUUGGUAACUGUUUUUCUCCCUUAAAUCCUCUUGGUACCCUUGUCAAAAAUCAGUUGAUCAUAUGUGUAUUUUUAUUUCUGGUUUCUUUAUUGGACUCACCAUUUCAUUCCUCUCAUCUGUAUGUCUAUUCUUAUGCCAGUACCACAUUGUAUUGAUCACUGUAGAUUUGUAGUACAUUUUGAAAUUGGGAAGUGUGAUUGUUUCUUUUUAUGGUUAUUUUGGCUAUCCUGGAUCUUUUGCAUUUCCAUAUGAUUUUAGGAUCAACUUGUGAAUUUCUAUUUUUU